AGAUAAGCUCACUUUAGAAAAGUUUUAGUACACACUGACAAAUUACCUCCUGAAAUGACACCAAUCUAAAUGGAGGGUUUCUUUUUUUUCAAACCUGUGGAAGAAUCUAAGCAGUUUUAUGGCCUUUGACAAAGUUGCUGUCAAAGAGAAAAAGCUCAAAGAUCUAGGAAGGUCCUGAGAGUUGCUGGAAGGAGAUGAGGCCAUGCCCUGGAAAGCUCUUCUGAGGAAGAGGUACAGGUCUGUGAUUCAUCAGUCUUACACAAUUCACAGCACUCACCGUAGCACAUACCGUCCCCAGUGAUGUGGGCAUUUUAUGGGAGCCCAGGGUUUUUGUCAAGGACCUAAACACACACACCUGGCUCAGGAGUCCGAGGCACUGGAGGGAAGGGGAAGGUGGAGCUGUUGCACGUGCAGCCGCGGCUUCCCACCACCAACCUGAGUCAGCAACUUAGCACCCCGUACGUGAGAGCAGGAGUGGAUUUGCAGCUGUGGGCACGUCGCAGCAUCAAAAUCACCUUCAUGUUAUCUUAGGCCUCACAACAGCCCUGUGAAGUUGGAAGUGUAAUCUUUUCUCAUUUAUCGAUAUCAGAAUCCCUCCCUCCCCACUCCCUCCUCAUCUGGGCUGCUGCUGGGUAACAGACUUCAUGCUAAAACCAGGAAUAAGAAGGUGAAUACAACCUGGCUCCCUGUCUUCAGUAGCUCACUGUGAACUGGGGGGAGACAGUAAUCCCAGGAACUCAGGGUUUCCCCUCACACUCUUAUUUUUCCUUGCAAUGUAUUUGUUGAAGAAACCGAGUGAUUUAUCCAAGAGAUUUCCUAAUGGUCUGGAUUUUGCUGAUUGUUUCCUCUUGAUAUUGAGCAUGUUCCUCUGUUCUCGGUAGUUCCAUCUAAAGAUUUAGGCUUGGACUACUGGGUAUUUACCCCAAAGAUACAAAAGUAGGGACCAGAAGGGGUAUGUGCACCCCGAUGUUUAUAGCAGCAAUGUCCACAAUAGCCAAACUGUGGAAAGAGCCAAGAUGUCCAUCGACAGAUGAAUGGAUAAAGAAGAUGUGGUAUAUAUAUACGAUGGAGUAUUAUGCAGCCAUCAAAAGGAAUGAGAUCUUGCCAUUUGCAACGACGUGGAUGGAACUGGAGGGUAUUAUGUUGAGUGAAAUAAGUCAAACAGAGAAAGACAUGUAUCAUAUGAUCUCACUGAUAUGAGGAAUUCUUAAUCG